rnacentral:piRNA from 1 species
UAUUGAUGAAGUGCUCACAGGCUUAAAU